rnacentral:rRNA from 1 species
GAUGAACGCUAGCGGCAGGCCUAAUACAUGCAAGUCGAACGGUAGAUCGGGUAGCAAUACUUGAUUGAGAGUGACAUAAGGGUGCGUAACACGUAUGCAAUCUACCCUCAACAGGAGUAUAGCUCGGGGAAACUCGGAUUAACACUCCAUAACAUUACGAUGUGGCAUCACAUUGUGAUUAAAACUCCGGUGGUUGAGGAUGAGCAUGCGUCUGAUUAGUUAGUUGGAGGUGUAACGGACCCCCAAGACGAUGAUCAGUAGGGGAACUGAGAGGUUGAUCCCCCACACUGGCACUGAGAUACGGGCCAGACUCCUACGGGAGGCAGCAGUAGGGAAUAUUGGUCAAUGGGUGAGAGCCUGAACCAGCCAUGCCGCGUGCAGGAAGACGGCCUUCUGGGUUGUAAACUGCUUUAUCUGGGGAUAAAAAGCCCAUGCGUGGGACAUUGAAGGUACCAGAUGAAUAAGCACCGGCUAACUACGU